UACGAAGGGGGGCUAGCGUUGCUCGGAUUUACUGGGCGUAAAGGGCGCGUAGGCGGACAGUUAAGUUGGGGGUGAAAGCCCGGGGCUCAACCUCGGAAUUGCCUUCAAUACUGGCUGUCUUGAGUACGGGAGAGGUGUGUGGAACUCCGAGUGUAGAGGUGAAAUUCGUAGAUAUUCGGAAGAACACCAGUGGCGAAGGCGACACACUGGCCCGUUACUGACGCUGAGGCGCGAAAGCGUGGGGGAGCAAACA
rnacentral:rRNA from 1 species